UACAGAGGGUGCGAGCGUUGUCCGGAAUCACUGGGCGUAAAGGGCGCGUAGGCGGCUCGGUAAGCGUGCGGUGAAAGCCCGGGGCUCAACCCCGGGUCGGCCGUGCGAACUGCAGAGCUGGAGCACUGUAGAGGCAGGUGGAAUUCCGGGUGUAGCGGUGGAAUGCGUAGAGAUCCGGGAAAGAACACCCGGUGGCGAAGGCGGCCUGCUGGGGCAGUUGCUGACGCUGAGGCGCGACAGCGGUGGGGAGCAAACAGG
rnacentral:rRNA from 1 species